rnacentral:tRNA from 1 species
GGUGGCUCAGUGGUAGAGUGCUUGCCUUGCAUGCAUGAACGAGGCCCUGAGUUCAAUUCCUCAGUACCA